CCUACGGGUGGCAGCAGUGGGGAAUAUUGGACAAUGGGGGCAACCCUGAUCCAGCCAUGCCGCGUGUGUGAAGAAGGCCCUCGGGUUGUAAAGCACUUUCAGUGAGGAAGAACGCCUGGUGGUUAAUACCCAUCAGGAAAGACAUCACUCACAGAAGAAGCACCGGCUAACUCCGUGCCAGCAGCCGCGGUAAUACGGAGGGUGCGAGCGUUAAUCGGAAUUACUGGGCGUAAAGCGCGCGUAGGUGGCUUGAUAAGCCGGUUGUGAAAGCCCCGGGCUCAACCUGGGAACGGCAUCCGGAACUGUCAAGCUAGAGUGCAGGAGAGGAAGGUAGAAUUCCCGGUGUAGCGGUGAAAUGCGUAGAGAUCGGGAGGAAUACCAGUGGCGAAGGCGGCCUUAUGGACUGACACUGACACUGAGGUGCGAAAGCGUGGGUAGCAAACAGGAUUAGAUACCCCGGUAGUC
rnacentral:rRNA from 1 species